rnacentral:rRNA from 1 species
UACGAAGGGUGCUAGCGUUGUUCGGAAUCACUGGGCGUAAAGCGCGCGUAGGCGGCGAACCAAGUCAGAGGUGAAAUCCCAGAGCUUAACUCUGGAACUGCCUUUGAAACUGGUUUGCUAGAGUACUGGAGGGGAGUGGGGAAUUCCUAAUGUAGAGGUGAAAUUCGUAGAUAUUAGGAGGAACACCGGUGGCGAAGGCGCCACUCUGGACAGUAACUGACGCUGAGGCGCGGAAAGCGUGGGGAUCAAACAGG